rfam:Myotis lucifugus cont2.10654, whole genome shotgun sequence.
GGCUGGAUAGCUCAGUUGGUUUGAGCAUUGUCCUGAUAUGCCAAGGUUAUGGGUUCAAUCUCCAGUCA